GAUGAAACCGCUUCGGUGGUGGAUUAGUGGCGCACGGGUGAGUAACACGUGGGCAAUCUGCCCUUCACUCUGGGACAAGCCCUGGAAACGGGGUCUAAUACCGGAUAAUACUCCUGCCUGCAUGGGUGGGGGUUGAAAGCUCCGGCGGUGAAGGAUGAGCCCGCGGCCUAUCAGCUUGUUGGUGGGGUAAUGGCCUACCAAGGCGACGACGGGUAGCCGGCCUGAGAGGGCGACCGGCCACACUGGGACUGAGACACGGCCCAGACUCCUACGGGAGGCAGCAGUGGGGAAUAUUGCACAAUGGGCGAAAGCCUGAUGCAUCGACGCCGCGUGAGGGAUGACGGCCUUCGGGUUGUAAACCUCUUUCAGCAGGGAAGAAGCGCAAGUGACGGUACCUGCAGAAGAAGCGCCGGCUAACUACGUGCCAGCAGCCGCGGUAAUACGUAGGGCGCAAGCGUUGUCCGGAAUUAUUGGGCGUAAAGAGCUCGUAGGCGGCUUGUCACGUCGGAUGUGAAAGCCCGGGGCUUAACCCCGGGUCUGCAUUUCGAUACGGGCUAGCUAGAGUGUGGUAGGGGAGAUCGGAAUUCCUGGUGUAGCGGUGAAAUGCGCAGAUAUCAGGAGGAGCACCGGUGGCGAAGGCGGAUCUCUGGGCCAUUACUGACGC
rnacentral:rRNA from 1 species